AUUGAACGCUGGCGGCAUGCCUUACACAUGCAAGUCGAACGGCAGCACGGGUGCUUGCACCUGGUGGCGAGUGGCGAACGGGUGAGUAAUACAUCGGAACAUGUCCUGUAGUGGGGGAUAGCCCGGCGAAAGCCGGAUUAAUACCGCAUACGAUCUACGGAUGAAAGCGGGGGACCUUCGGCCCUCGCGCUAUAGGGUUGGCCGAUGGCUGAUUAGCUAGUUGGUGGGGUAAAGGCCUACCAAGGCGACGAUCAGUAGCUGGUCUGAGAGGACGACCAGCCACACUGGGACUGAGACACGGCCCAGACUCCUACGGGAGGCAGCAGUGGGGAAUUUUGGACAAUGGGCGAAAGCCUGAUCCAGCAAUGCCGCGUGUGUGAAGAAGGCCUUCGGGUUGUAAAGCACUUUUGUCCGGAAAGAAAUCCUUGGCCCUAAUACGGUCGGGGGAUGACGGUACCGGAAGAAUAAGCACCGGCUAACUACGUG
rnacentral:rRNA from 1 species